rnacentral:rRNA from 1 species
GACGAACGCUGGCGGCGUGCUUAACACAUGCAAGUCGAACGGAAAGGCCUGCUUUCCCUUGUGGAUUGCGGGUACUCGAGUGGCGAACGGGUGAGUAACACGUGAGUGAUCUGCCCCCAACUUGGGUAUAAGCCUGGGAAACUGGGUCUAAUUCCCGAUAGGACUGCAGGGUGGUGCCUGUGGUGGAAAACGAUUUUCUAGUGGUUGGGGAUGAGCUCGCGGCCUAUCAGCUUGUUGGUGGGGUAAUGGCCUACCAAGGCGGCGACGGGUAGCCGGCCUGAGAGGGUGGACGGCCACAUUGGGACUGAGAUACGGCCCAGACUCCUACGGGAGGCAGCAGUGGGGAAUAUUGCACAAUGGGCGGAAGCCUGAUGCAGCGACGCCGCGUGGGGGAUGACGGCCUUCGGGUUGUGAACUCCUUUCGACCGCGAGGAAGCCACCUGGUUGGAAGGGUGGUGACGGUAGUGGUAGAAGAAGCACCGGCUAACUACGUG